AGGACGAACGCUGGCGGCGUGCUUAACACAUGCAAGUCGAGCGGAAAGGCCUUUCGGGGUACUCGAGCGGCGAACGGGUGAGUAACACGUGAGUAAGUCUGCCCAUCGCUUCAGGAUAGCCAUCGGAAACGGUGAUUAAUACUGGAUAUGACAUUCCUUGCA
rnacentral:rRNA from 1 species